UACAGAGACUGCAAGCGUUAUUCGGAUUCACUGGGCGUAAAGGGUGCGUAGGCGGAUUAUUAAGUCAGUGGUGAAAGCCUACAGCUUAACUGUAGAAUUGCCAUUGAUACUGAUGAUCUUGAGUAUGAUUGAGGUGGGCGGAAUGUGUCAUGUAGCGGUGAAAUGCUUAGAUAUGACACAGAACACCGAUUGCGAAGGCAGCUCACUAAGUCAUAACUGACGCUGAUGCACGAAAGCGUGGGGAGCAAACAGG
rnacentral:rRNA from 1 species